GACGAACGCUGGCGGCGUGCUUAACACAUGCAAGUCGAACGGAAAGGCCCUGCUUUUGUGGGGUGCUCGAGUGGCGAACGGGUGAGUAACACGUGAGUAACCUGCCCUUGACUUUGGGAUAACUUCAGGAAACUGGGGCUAAUACCGGAUAGGAGCUCCUGCUGCAUGGUGGGGGUUGGAAAGUUUCGGCGGUUGGGGCUGGACUCGCGGCUUAUCAGCUUGUUGGUGGGGUAGUGGCUUACCAAGGCUUUGACGGGUAGCCGGCCUGAGAGGGUGACCGGCCACAUUGGGACUGGGAUACGGCCCAGACUCCUACGGGGGGCAGAAGUGGGGAAUAUUGCACAAUGGGCGGAAGCCUGAUGCAGCAACGCCGCGUGCGGGAUGACGGCCGUCGGGUUGUAAACCGCUUUCGCCUGUGACGAAGCGUGAGUGACGGUAAUGGGUAAAGAAGCACCGGCUAGCUACGUG
rnacentral:rRNA from 1 species